AGAUGUAAUUAUGCAAACAUAUAUGCAUGGUUGUCAGUAAAAAAUGACACAAAAAAAAGAAGUUAUCUACAGUAGGUGUUUUUUUUUUUUUAUAAUUAGUUGGAAUGUUUAAAAAAGUUACAAUAGUGUCCAGAUUCUCUCGAGCGGAAACGAUUAUAUGUCGUUGUUCGGUUUUUAUUUGAAUUAUAUUAAAAAUCAAUAUUUUAUUGAUUUAUUGGUGAUUUCAUUAUUUGGUAA